UUUUGCCGCAGUACUUGACUGUGCUAAGGUAGCAUAAUCAGUUGGCUUUUAAAUGGAGUCGGGAAUGAAUGGAUUUAUGGAGUGAAGCUGUCUCUUCUAUAUUAUAUUUAAUUUACUUAGUAGGUGAAAAUGCCUACUUUUAGAAAAAAGACGAGAAGACCCUAGGAGUUUUUACUAAAAGUUAUUUUAUAACUUUCGUUUUUGUUGGGGCGACAUUGGAGAAACAGUUAUAUAAACCUCCUUUUACAGAUUUGCCGACUNAUGUAUGUGAAUUUAAACUACCCCNUAGGGAUAACAGCGUAAUUUUAUUUAAGCUUGCGACCUCGAUGUUGGACUAGG
rnacentral:rRNA from 1 species